AUGAACCCUGGGUCUCCUCUCCAUACGGCUUGGGCUUCUGGUACCCACCAGAGCCGUACGCACCUUCAUCCUCCCCUUGCACCUUCCUCCCAGAUCCAUACCCAGAGCCACCAUAGCCCUCCUCCUCAGUCUUCCUCCCACCAUACCCAGCGCUACCCCAUAGCUCUCCUCCACCUGCGGCUUCCUUCCGUAGCCAGAGCCGUACUCCGAUCCGCCGUAGGUCUGCUCCACCUGCGGCUUGGACCCGUAGCCGGAGCCGUAGCCCUCCUCCGGCUGCGUCGUGUUCCCGUACCCAGAUCCGUAGCUCUCCUCGGCCUGCGGCUUCCUCCCGUAGCCGGAGCCGUACCCGGACCCGUAGGCGGGCUCCUCCUGCUGCGGCUUCCGGCCGUAGCCAGAUCCGUAGGUGUCCUCCUCGGAGCGCUGGGGCUUGGACCCGUAGCCGGAGCCGUAGGACGGCUGCUCCUCCUGCUGGGGGCGGAAGCCGUAGGCGGGCUGCGGCUUGGAUCCGUAGCCGGAGUCGUCCUCCCCGCCGCCGCCGUAGGACGGGCGCUGCUCCUCCGCCUGAGGGCGGAAGCCGUAUGCGGGCUGGGGCUUGGGCUUGGGCCUGGAUCCGUAGCCGGAGUCAUCCUCGCGGCCGUAGGAGGGCUGCUGCUGCUGCUCGUUCUGGGGGCGGAAGCCGUAGGCGGGCUGGGGCUUCUGGUGGUGGGCGUAGGGGGAGGGCUCCUCGGCGGCGUAGUGGGGCGCGUCGUAGGAGGUGGAGGGGGCGGAGCAGGGGUAGCAGGUCUCGUCGGAGGGCGGGAGCGGGCGGCCGAAGGUGGCGAAGAGGUCGUAGCCGCCGCCGUAGGGCGUGGAGUCGAACUCGUCGAAGUCGUCCGGCUCGUCGCGGGACCUGAGGUUGUAGGCGGUCGCCAUGGCUGCUGCUGCGCUGGUGGGGGAUCGGCGCGGAGAUCAGGGGAGGGGAAGGAGUGGUGUGUGACCUGGGAGUCCAGAAGGGCGCGCGAGCUUAUGCUGCGGUGCGAUGGGAGGGAUGCGAUCGAUUAG
rnacentral:rRNA from 1 species